CCGUCAUUAAGUGUAAAAGAAGAAAAAUAAUAAAGACAACGAGUUAAUAGGCCUUGCACCAGCUAUUUAAUAAAGAGUUCGUAACAGUUCACUCGAUAAAUUAUUUUUUUUUUAAAAUUUUGGUGGCUUAAAAAAAGAAGAAACCAAUGUUUGUGACAUUCGUUUUAAAAAGGGGGGCCGAGCGGGGAAUCCGUAGGAUUCCCCGCGCCCCGGCGGCGCCUUUGGCGCCCCGCGCGCCCUAAGGGAUCCCUGCCGGCCCCUUCCGAAACUAUGAAAAGAAAAACCCGAGACGGGGACCAAAGGUCCUUACGAACUCUUGGUUUCCGUUUUUUGGCUUUUGAAUUGGUAGCAGAACGUAUAGUAAAAAAAAAUUCGAAAAGAAAAAUCUAUAGUGAUAAUGCGAACAUGAGUAACAAGGGAUCCUCAGGAUCCGGGCCUAAGGUUUCCAAGGGGCAAAAAAGAGGCCCCGGGUGAACCAGUCCCUAAUAACUAAAUAAAAGGGGGGGGGGAGGGGAGAGCCCUUUGGGCUCUCCCCCCCGCUCUUUUUUGUUAGCGAAGGGGUUUAAAUCUAAAAUACUGAUUAAUAGCCCAGGAAAUAAUUAGAAUAUUUUUGACUGUACUAAAAUCUAACAAAAGUGGGCAAAAAAAAAAGGAGAAUUAUUAUUAAGGAACUCGGCAAGUUACACGUGUAAGAUUACGAGAAACGUGAAAAACCCUUUAUGAGAAGGAAACUUCCUCAAGAGUUUAUCUAAGAUAAAAGGGAGCCUCGCCUGUUUACCAAAAACAUAGUUUUCAGCUAUUAACGCAAAAGCUUCGUAUUGAAAAUGAUGCCUGCCCAAUGAUUGUAUCUGAAAGGAAAGGAGGGGGGGGGCCGAGCCCGUAGGGCUCCCCCCCCGUGCUUAGCUUUCUAUAAGGACAAUUGAAUGGCCGCGGUAACUCUGACCGUGAUAAUGUAGCGAAAUCACUAGCCAGUUAAUUGCUGGCCUGUAUGAAUGGCUAAACGAGGGCUCCACUGUCUCAAUAAUAAACCUAGUGAAAUUGAGAUGGCGGCGAAGACGCCGCCUAUGAAUUCUAAGACGAGAAGACCCCAUUGAGCUUUACUAUUAACUUGUAUUGCCAGAGCAAAGGGGAGGGGGACCCUACGGGUCUAGGGAAUACCCCGGAUCCGUUUUGCCCCCUGUCCCUAGCUUCAUAAUAAAAUUGUGGAGACUAUGUGGCAAAAGAAAAACAAGGGAUUUAAAAGAACGGGGGGGGGGAGGACCCUUAGGGUCCCCCCCCCGGGAUCCGAAGGGUCCGCCACGCCCCGUCCCGAUUUAUAUGAAAAACCACUCUUUUUAUUAAGAUUACUGUCUAACACCGUACAAGUAAGAUAGUUUGGUUGGGGCGACCGCCUUCGAAAAAGUAUCGAAGGCGCACAUAAGAUUAAUCAGGAGAAGGAUCCGAAGGAUCUUUUUCUCGGGGGCAAUGUCCCAAAAAAAGGAGAUUAAUUUGACUGAGAGGGCAACAACCCGAACAGACGUCAAAGGAUAGACCGGGGGGGGAAUCCUACAGAUUCCUUCCCCCCCUUCUUUUGGCGGGUCAUAGUGAUCCGUUGUUAUAUUGUGGGAUUGACAACGAUCAACGAAGAAAAGUUACCAUGGGGAUAACAGCGUAAUAUCGUUUUAGAGUACCUAUCGCUGACGAUGUUUGCGACCUCGAUGUUGAAUUGUGAUAUCCUGGAGGUGCAGAAGUUUCCAAGGGUUGGACUGUUCGUCCAUUAAAAUCAUACAUGAUUUGAGUUCAGAUCGGCGUGAGCCAGGUCGGUUUCUAUCUAGAAUUCAAAAAUAAACAAAGACCAGUUUACCUUCUAGUACGAAAGGAUCGAAGGGUUUAUAUCCUCUGGUGUUUCAAUCCGAAUACAAGAUCUUUGAAGGUCUUUAGGGGGAUCUUUUGGUUCCCGUUGUUGAGUAGCUACGAUAUAAAGAAUAAUUGCU
rnacentral:rRNA from 1 species